CCUACGGGUGGCAGCAGUGAGGAAUAUUGGUCAAUGGGCGCGAGCCUGAACCAGCCAAGUAGCGUGAAGGAUGACUGCCCUACGGGUUGUAAACUUCUUUUAUAUGGGAAUAAAAUGUUCCACGUGUGGGAUUUUGUAUGUACCAUAUGAAUAAGGAUCGGCUAACUCCGUGCCAGCAGCCGCGGUAAUACGGAGGAUCCGAGCGUUAUCCGGAUUUAUUGGGGUUAAAGGGAGCGUAGGUGGAUUGUUAAGUCAGUUGUGAAAGUUUGCGGCUCAACCGUAAAAUUGCAGUUGAAACUGGCAGUCUUGAGUACAGUAGAGGUGGGCGGAAGUCGUGGUGUAGCGGUGAAAUGCUUAGAUAUCACGAAGAACUCCGAUUGCGAAGGCAGCUCACUGGACUGCAACUGACACUGAGGCUCGAAAGUGUGGGUAUCAAAUAGGAUUAGAUACCCGAGUAGUC
rnacentral:rRNA from 1 species